CCUACGGGUGGCAGCAGUGAGGAAUAUUGGUCAAUGGUCGGGAGACUGAACCAGCCAAGCCGCGUGAGGGAGGAAGGUACAGAGUAUCGUAAACCUCUUUUGUCAGGGAACAAAGACUGGGACGCGUCCCCGGAUGAGUGUACCUGAAGAAAAAGCAUCGGCUAACUCCGUGCCAGCCGCCGCGGUAAUACGGGGGAUGCGAGCGUUAUCCGGAUUUAUUGGGGUUAAAGGGUGCGCAGGCGGUUUGUUAAGUCAGCGGUCAAAGCCCGGGGCUCAACCCCGGCCCGCCGUUGAAACGGGCAGGCUCGAGUUGGAGAGAGGUAUGCGGAAUGCGCGGUGUAGCGGUGAAAUGCAUAGAUAUCGCGCAGAACGCCGAUUGCGAAGGCAGCAUGCCGGCUCCACACUGACGCUGAGGCACGAAAGCGUGGGUAUCGAACAGGAUUAGAUACCCUGGUAGUC
rnacentral:rRNA from 1 species